ensembl:lncRNA
AGUGCGGCUGCUGUGCUAUAACAGUCCGGCAUGUAUGAGCAGGGGCCCCCGCCGAGGUCUCACUUACAGUGCAGUGAUUGAAGGGUGCGACGGUUACGUAACUGCAAGGUGUGGUGUGACGCCGCGUGAAUACGAAGCCUUGUCCCACAGUUUCACAUGCAGAGCCCUGAGGUUGCUCGUGUCCUCUUUGUUUGACUGCAACCUUUUUGUGGCGAGCUGCGUUGGACUUUACCUCCACUUCUCACGGUAACUGCUCCCAGGUAUGUUAUUGCCCUGCCUUUUGGACAUGUGGUUUAGCGUGCCUGGCAGGGCGGCGGGCGGCUCUCCUGGCUCGGCGUGUUUAUGCAGGUGCAGGACGUUCAGGACACACCGCCCUGCAGAGCCCCUUGGAGGGGCUUUUUUCAGGGCAGCCUAUCCUGCAGUAUUGGAAGGGGGCCGCCUAUAAGUGGCAUUUCGGAGGGACGGCCCAGAAAAGGCAUUUCCUCAGGUUACUGGAAAUGAAGCAGUAAAAGGUUUGAACCGACUCAACAUACAUCAAAGUGCAGGUGGAAGCAACCAGUCCGUGCAGGUAAAAAAAACGUGACCUCCAGCUAGCCGGCCCGCGUUCACACGGCGACAGAAGUCUUCUGCCGCAGUAAUGACGGGUCGAUCGCACGCCGCGAUUUCACGCACAGGAAGGACAGAAAAGCCGGGGCUCUGUUCUCCAACAGCUUUCCAGGAUAAUGAAUUCCUCUGGUUUGGUCAGCCAGCAAAAGACAUGAGGAGAAAGGGGGCGGUGGACUGCAUGAGAG